rnacentral:rRNA from 1 species
GUAGGCGGAAUUCCCGGUGUAGCGGUGGAAUGCGUAGAUAUCGGGAGGAACACCAGUGGCGAAGGCGGCCUACUGGGCACUAACUGACGCUGAGGCUCGAAAGCAUGGGUAGCAAACAGGAUUAGAUACCCUGGUAGUCCAUGCCGUAAACGUUGGGCACUAGGUGUGGGGACCAUUCCACGGUUUCCGCGCCGCAGCUAACGCAUUAAGUGCCCCGCCUGGGGAGUACGGCCGCAAGGCUAAAACUCAAAGGAAUUGACGGGGGCCCGCACAAGCGGCGGAGCAUGCGGAUUAAUUCGAUGCAACGCGAAGAACCUUACCAAGGCUUGACAUGUUCUCGAUCGCCGUAGAGAUACGGUUUCCCCUUUGGG